rnacentral:rRNA from 1 species
GAGUUUGAUCAUGGCUCAGGACGAACGCUGGCGGCGUGCUUAACACAUGCAAGUCGAACGAUGAAGCCCAGCUUGCUGGGUGGAAGAGUGGCGAACGGGUGAGUAACACGUGAGUAACCUGCCCUGAACUCUGGGAUAAGCACUGGAAACGGUGUCUAAUACUGGAUACGACCUAUCACCGCAUGGUGUGUGGGUGGAAAGAUUUAUCGGUUUUGGAUGGACUCGCGGCCUAUCAGCUAGAUGGUGAGGUAAUGGCUCACCAUGGCGACGACGGGUAGCCGGCCUGAGAGGGUGACCGGCCACACUGGGACUGAGACACGGCCCAGACUCCUACGGGAGGCAGCAGUGGGGAAUAUUGCACAAUGGGCGCAAGCCUGAUGCAGCAACGCCGCGUGAGGGAUGACGGCCUUCGGGUUGUAAACCUCUUUUAGUAGGGAAGAAGCGAAAGUGACGGUACCUGCAGAAAAAGCACCGGCUAACUACGUGCCAGCAGCCGCGGUAAUACGUAGGGUGCAAGCGUUGUCCGGAAUUAUUGGGCGUAAAGAGCUCGUAGGCGGCUUGUCGCGUCUGCUGUGAAAUCCCGGGGCUCAACCCCGGGCCUGCAGUGGGUACGGGCAAGCUAGAGUGCGGUAGGGGAGAUUGGAAUUCCUGGUGUAGCGGUGGAAUGCGCAGAUAUCAGGAGGAACACCGAUGGCGAAGGCAGAUCUCUGGGCCGCUACUGACGCUGAGGAGCGAAAGCAUGGGGAGCGAACAGGAUUAGAUACCCUGGUAGUCCAUGCCGUAAACGUUGGGAACUAGAUGUAGGGCCUGUUCCACGGGUUCUGUGUCGUAGCUAACGCAUUAAGUUCCCGCCUGGGGAGUACGGCCGCAGGCUAAAACUCAAAGGAAUUGACGGGGGCCC